CACAUGCAAGUCGAGGGGCAGCAUGUCCAGCAAUGGAUGAUGGCGACCGGCGGAAGGGUGCGUAACGCGUGAGCAACAUGCCCUAUACAGGGAGAUACACCAGGGAAACUUGGUCUAAUAUCCCAUAGCAUUCAUUGAAGGCAUCUUUAAUGAAUUAAAGCUUCGGUGGUAUAGGAUUGGCUCGCGUGACAUUAGCCAGAUGGUGAGGUAACGGCUCACCAUAGCAAUGAUGUCUAGGGGUUUUGAGAGGAAGGCCCCCCACACUGGGACUGAGACACGGCCCAGACUCCUACGGGAGGCAGCAGUGGGGAAUAUUGCACAAUGGGGGAAACCCUGAUGCAGCAACGCCGCGUGAGCGAUGAAGGCUUUCGAGUCGUAAAGCUCUGUCCUAAGGGAAGAUAAUGACGGUACCUUAGGAGGAAGCCCCGGCUAACUACGUGCCAGCAGCCGCGGUAAUACGUAGGGGGCAAGCGUUAUCCGGAAUUAUUGGGCGUAAAGGGUGCGUAGGCGGCCUUAUGGGUCAGAGGUUAAAUACUACGGCUUAACCGUAGUAUGCCUUUGAAACUAUAGGGCUUGAGUGCAGGAGAGGAGAGUGGAAUUCCUAGUGUAGCGGUGAAAUGCGUAGAUAUUAGGAGGAAUACCAGUGGCGAAGGCGACUCUCUGGACUGCAACUGACGCUAAGGCACGAAAGCGUGGGUAGCGAACAGGAUUAGAUACCCUGGUAGUCCACGCCGUANACGAUGAGUGCUAGGUGUUGGGGGUCAAACCUCGGUGCCGCAGUUAACGCAUUAAGCACUCCGCCUGGGG
rnacentral:rRNA from 1 species